GACGAACCACACAAACGUUAUUCGGAAUUACUGGGCUUAAAGGGUGCGUAGGUGGCGUCGUAAGUGGGGUGUGAAAUCCCGGGGCUUAACCCCGGGACUGCAUUCCAUACUGCGGUGCUUGAGGACUGGAGAGGAGACUGGAAUUUACGGUGUAGCAGUGAAAUGCGUAGAGAUCGUAAGGAAGACCAGUGGCGAAGGCGGGUCUCUGGGCCGAUACUGACGCUGAGGAGCGAAAGCGUGGGGAGCGAACAGG
rnacentral:rRNA from 1 species